rnacentral:rRNA from 1 species
AGAACGAACGCUGGCGGCAUGCCUAAUACAUGCAAGUCGAACGAACACUUCGGUGUUAGUGGCGCACGGGUGCGUAACGCGUGGGAAUCUGCCCUUGGGUUCGGAAUAACAGUUGGAAACGACUGCUAAUACCGGAUGAUAUCGAAAGAUCAAAGAUUUAUCGCCCAGGGAUGAGCCCGCGUAGGAUUAGCUAGUUGGUGAGGUAAAGGCUCACCAAGGCGACGAUCCUUAGCUGGUCUGAGGGGAUGAUCAGCCACACUGGGACUGAGACACCGGCCAGACCUCCUACGGGAGGCAGCAGUAGGGAAUAGUUAGGACAAGUGGGACGCAAGCCUGACUCCAGCAAUCGACCGCGUGAGUGAUGAAGGCCGUUAGGUGAAGCUUACGUUUACCGAGUAA